rnacentral:rRNA from 1 species
GAUGAACGCUGGCGGCGUGCCUAAUACAUGCAAGUCGAGCGAACGGACGAGAAGCUUGCUUCUCUGAUGUUAGCGGCGGACGGGUGAGUAACACGUGGAUAACCUACCUAUAAGACUGGGAUAACUUCGGAAAACCGGAGCUAAUACCGGAUAAUAUUUUGAACCGCAUGGUUCAAAAGUGAAAGACGGUUUUGCUGUCACUUAUAGAUGGAUCCGCGCUGCAUUAGCUAGUUGGUAAGGUAACGGCUUACCAAGGCAACGAUGCAUAGCCGACCUGAGAGGGUGAUCGGCCACACUGGAACUGAGACACGGUCCAGACUCCUACGGGAGGCAGCAGUAGGGAAUCUUCCGCAAUGGGCGAAAGCCUGACGGAGCAACGCCGCGUGAGUGAUGAAGGUCUUCGGAUCGUAAAACUCUGUUAUUAGGGAAGAACAUAUGUGUAAGUAACUGUGCACAUCUUGACGGUACCUAAUCAGAAAGCCACGGCUAGCUACGUG